rnacentral:rRNA from 1 species
GAUGAACGCUGGCGGUAUGCCUAACACAUGCAAGUCGUACGAGAGUUUUUAACUCUAGUGGCGGACGGGUGAGUAACACGUGAGAAUUUGCCUUUAGGAGGGGGAUAACAAUUGGAAACGAAUGCUAAUACCCCAUAUGCUUUUGAGUGAAACGGAUUUAUCCGCCUAGAGAGAAGCUCGCGGCUGAUUAGCUUGUUGGUAAGGUAAGAGCUUACCAAGGCGACGAUCAGUAUCUGGUUUGAGAGGACGAUCAGACACACUGGAACUGAGACACGGUCCAGACUCCUACGGGAGGCAGCAGUGGGGAAUUUUCCGCAAUGGGCGAAAGCCUGACGGAGCAAUACCGCGUGAGGGAAGACUGCCUAUGGGUUGUAAGCCUCUUUUUCAGGGAGGAAUAAAUGACGUGUACCUGAAGAAUAAGCAUCGGCUAACUCCGUG